UUUUAAAGAAUCAUCCUUGCACAUGGUGCUUCCUAUUUCUGAGGCUUUCUGGAGUGUUAGAUUCUGUUGACUGGGUUCUCCUCGGCAUGUCCCUCUGAAGAUACACAGCUUCUAUCCUUUCCACUCAACUUGGAAACAGAAUCAAGAUUUCUCAGAGACCGCCCCAUCCUUUCCAUUAAACAAUCAUUCAGGCAACUUACACUCAGAAGAGGAAACACUGACACUUAAUCAACAAAAGAAAGUCACACUUGAUGUCCUGUUUGUACAGAGACAAAAAUAGUUCUUCAAAAAUAGCAGAUUGAAGUUUAUAUUGAAAAAUGUCCAUUAUGAUAGUGAGCAUUUCUCUAUCUCUGUUCCUGAGAUAAUCUGUGCUACCACAAUAAAUAAUGCACUGA